rnacentral:rRNA from 1 species
GAUGAACGCUAGCGGCAGGCUUAACACAUGCAAGUCGAGGGGUAUAGUAGCAAUACUAGAGACCGGCGCACGGGUGCGUAACGCGUAUGCAAUCUACCUUUUGCAGAGGGAUAGCCCAGAGAAAUUUGGAUUAAUACCUCAUAGUAUAGAACAAUCGCAUGAUUGAACUAUUAAAGUCACAACGGCAAAAGAUGAGCAUGCGUCCCAUUAGUUAGUUGGUAAGGUAACGGCUUACCAAGACUACGAUGGGUAGGGGUCCUGAGAGGGAGAUCCCCCACACUGGUACUGAGACACGGACCAGACUCCUACGGGUGGCAG